rnacentral:lncRNA from 1 species
UUUUUUCUUUUCUUUUUUUUUUUUUUUGAGACGGAGUCUCACUCUGUCGCCCAGGCUGGAGUGCAGUGGCCGGAUCUCAGCUCACUGCAAGCUCUGCCUCCCAGGUUUUACGCCAUUUUCCUGCCUCAGCCUCCCAAGUAGCUGGGACUACAGGCACCCGCCACCUCGCCCGGAUAGUUUUUUUGUAUUUUUUUAGUAGAGACGGGGUUUCACCAUGUUAGCCAGGAUGGUCUCGAUCUUUUUUCUUUUUUAAAGAUAGGACAUUGCUCUGCCACUCAGACCGGAAUACAGUGGCAUAAUGAUAGCUCACUGCAGCCUCAAACUCCUGGGCUCAAAUGAUUCUCCUGCUUCAGCCUCCUAAGCAGUGGGUACUACAGGUUCUCACCACCACACCUGGCUGCUUUUAAUCCUUUGUAAAGACAGGUCUCACUAUAUUGCCCAGACUGGUCUUAAACUCCCAGCCUCAAAUGAUCCUCAGGCCCUGGCCUUCCAAAGCACUGGGAUUACAGGUGUGAGCCAUAUUUGCAGUACAGUUAAAGACUAAUUUCCUAAUUCCAACAGUAAGACUAGUAAGACUUUUUUCUUUCUAACAGGUGAGUUCGAGUCAAUAGAAAUGAAGAAAACAAAAAGGAAAAUUCAACGGAUCCCCAAGCCCUCCUCACCCCCUGGGCUGCUGGCCAGGAGAGAGCAAGUGCUUCAGCCCCCACAGCUCCCAGUUGACUGCAGGAAUGAAGGGGCAGCCUCAUGAUAGCCUCAAAUACCCACAGGCUCUGGUUCAUAGCCUUGGGUUCACCUGCGCAGGCAGGGGAGAGAAAAUUCCAUCAGUGAGUAUAGCAACACACCGUCCUGCAGCUUGACCCUUUUAUCAGGUUACAGGCAGGGAGGCCAAAGCUUACCUGGGUGUGGUUACAGCUCUUACGGAGAACAGCAGACAAGUGUGGACUACUUGGCACCUGUAUAAAUAACAUGCAAUUUCUUCCACACUAUAUACUCUUAAAGCCAAUCGCAUUAUUAUUCAAGUUAGCACUUCUGCCUAAAUUCAAUCUAUUGCACUUUGACACAGUUGCAAAACAUAAGGUCCUAGUUUUUAAUUUAAGAGAAGUCUGGUACCCAAAGCUUUGCUUGUAGAGACCAAACCC